rnacentral:rRNA from 1 species
ACGGGUGAGUAACGCGUGGGAACCUACCCAGAACUUCGGAAUAACACAUGGAAACGUGUGCUAAUACCGGAUACGCCCUACGGGGGAAAGAUUUAUCGGUUUUGGAUGGGCCCGCGUAAGAUUAGCUAGUUGGUGAGGUAAUGGCUCACCAAGGCGACGAUCUUUAGCUGGUCUGAGAGGAUGAUCAGCCACACUGGGACUGAGACACGGCCCAGACUCCUACGGGAGGCAGCAGUGGGGAAUAUUGGACAAUGGGCGCAAGCCUGAUCCAGCCAUGCCGCGUGAGUGAUGAAGGCCUUAGGGUUGUAAAGCUCUUUCAGUAGGGAAGAUAAUGACGGUACCUACAGAAGAAGCCCCGGCUAACUUCGUGCCAGCAGCCGCGGUAAUACGAAGGGGGCUAGCGUUGCUCGGAUUUACUGGGCGUAAAGCGCACGUAGGCGGAUCGUUAAGUUAGGGGUGAAAUCCUGGAGCUCAACUCCAGAACUGCCUCUAAUACUGGCGAUCUAGAGUCCGGAAGAGGUGAGUGGAACUCCUAGUGUAGAGGUGGAAUUCGUAGA